rnacentral:lncRNA from 1 species
AAAGAAUGAUUUUAAUCAUACAUUAAUCAUGGUUUACAUGCUGGCUGUUUGGCAUGCAGCAUCUGGAUCUAUUUGUCCUGUGCUAAGGGGAUGCAGAGAAGACAACAUGAUCAUAAUCUGUGAUUUAAUUUAGGUUUUAUUUAUUUGCUUUGCUUUCUUUGAGUUGCAUUCCCAGAUGUACCAUGAUUAGGACAGUAACUGUGAUUCUAUGGACAAGCAAAUCUGCAUCAACCAACCUGUCUAGACUACGAAGAGAAAUGAUUUGCGCGUGCCUGUAAAGACAGUAGUAAUUCCUUUAAGAUUUAUUCUAGUUUUUCUAGAAAAACUUUAUUAGCUGCUCAUGGCAUAUUGCCACAAGACAGACAAAAGAUCUUAAGGAUUAAUUCUAAAAUAAUGGCUUGAAGAAAAAAAUAAUCUUCAAAUGCUUUUGUUGCUAGAAGUGUGGGGAGCUCCCGUACAAGGAACCUUAGAAUUUCAGUACGUAUCGAGCCUAAUUCAUAUUUAUUAGUCAACAGCAACUUAGCAGUACUGUUUUCCAAAAACAUCCGUUACUCAAGAAACGUUAUCCUGUAGCAGGAGAUACCCUCGGAUAUUAAUUUUAUACCAGCAUCUCUUCCCAUUAAGAAAGGAACAGAAGGAAAAAAGGGGGAGGAGGCCAUUACCUGCGACUACUUCCAGGACGCGACCCCGAAAACCACUUUUUGAGCUGCUCCUGCCCGUGGCUGUCCCGCAAGCGAGGGAGCACCCGUUACACUGCGCUGCGCUGCACCCCGGCCCCGGCCCGCGGGGCCCGCAGGCGCUGAGGGCGGCGGGGCCCUACCGCCAUCUCGGCUCCCGCCCGCCGGCGGACGGCUCCGCCGCUUUUUCAACAACAGCACGGGUAUUUCUCUUUCCUUUACUUCGGUCUUGGCGUACAAGCGCGGCUCUUGGAAGAGACGGACCCUGACCGCAGCAGAACCUCAGCGUACGGGCUAUACCACUCGUCAGACUGCGCCAGCCUUGGGCUAAGGCCGGGGCUUGCGGGAAGACGCUCAGACCGGCCGUCCCGCUCCCUUGGGGUGACCGACCCGCCGGGCCGCAGCCGAAGGGCGGGCGGCACCCCCUGGCCCGGGCGGGGCGGAGGGGGGCUUGGGACUCCCCGAGCCCCGGCUGGGCGGCGGCCGAGGGGCAGCGGGUUUGCGGGGCGGGGCAGGCUGGGGGGCCGGAGCGCAGAGGCGGGUGGCGGGCAGGAAGGAAAGCUACCAGAGAAGCGGGGCGGGGGCGGCGGCAGCGGCAGGUCCGCCCGCCCCGGGGCUGCGGCCGUGAGGGGCCGCCCGGGCCCGCCCGCCCGCGCCGCCCGGCCAAUGGGAGCGGCGGUUGUUAGCGGGCCGGGAGGUGGCGGCGUUGCCACAGCAGCGGCGGGGCUGGGGCUGCAGCCGGUGGUCGGGGUGCGCCAUGGAGGGGCUGGAAGGUGA